UUAGCCUAAAUUUACUUGAGAACUCCACUGUAGUCUUCAAACAGCGAUGCCUUUGUGUCAUCUGAUGCGGCUUUGCUGGGAUGAUCCAACCAAAUGUUGUCCAAACUCUCUUUAAUCCCACAAAAUCUGAAAGACAAACUUGCUGAAGUUGCUCUGAACGUCUUGGCAUCGUAUGACAGGCCAGAAAGACUGCGGAAGGACCGUCGCUCUUUGAAGGCCACAGUAGGAAGCAUAUCCUCCUCGUCCCUCAGCUCCAGCUU